GGAUCUAUGAAGACAACAGGUCUCUGAGGACGUUGACUGACUUGAACAGAUGCGAUCUGAGGUCC
rfam:Echinococcus multilocularis genomic scaffold, pathogen_EMT_contig_0794